UACGAGGGGGGCGAGCGUUGUUCGGAAUUAUUGGGCGUAAAGGGUGCGUAGGCGGCCUGACAAGUCUGAUGUGAAAUCCCUGGGCUCAACCCAGGGCCUGCAUCGGAAACUGUCGGGCUUGAGUAUGGGAGAGGUGAGUGGAAUUUCCGGUGUAGCGGUGAAAUGCGUAGAUAUCAGGAGGAACACCAAUGGCGAAGGCAGCUCGCUGGGACGGUACUGACGCUGAGACGCGAAAGCGUGGGGAGCAAACAGG
rnacentral:rRNA from 1 species